rnacentral:lncRNA from 1 species
AUUAAAUAUUUUAAAACUUAUAAAAUAAGUUUAUUUUACAUUAAAAAAAUAGAAGAAGUUAUAAAUUAAAGUUAUUUUAAAUUAUAAAUCCUAAAAAAUAAAAAAUUAACAACUAGUGAUUUUUUAAAAAAUUAUUAAAAAUUAAUUACAACUAGUGAUUUUAAUAAAUUGUAAUAUUAACUUUUAAAUUUUAAACUAAGUUAAAUUGUAAUAUCCCCAAAAGUAUAAACUAAGUUAAGUCAUUUUAAAUCAUUUUAAAGUUAUUUCCCAAAAGAUUUUAAAUGUUAUUUUAUAGUUAUUUCCUAAAAGAUUUCCCAAAAGUAUAAAUUUAGUUAAAUUAAGUCAUUUUAUAGUUAUUUACCCAAAUCAAACCCCUAAAACCCCAAAUCAAUUUCCCCAAAUCGACUUUCCCCAAAUCAAACACCCAAAACCCCAAAUCGAUUUCCCCAAAUCAAACACCCAAAACCCCAAAUCGAUUUCCCCAAAUCGUUCACUCCUGUCCGCCGAACGAAGAACUUCUUGUUCACUCCCCAAAUCCGCCGAACGAACAACUUCUUGUUCACUCCCCAAAUCGACGAUCACUCCAUUCUUCCGACGAAUAACUUCUUGUUCACUCCUGUCCGCCGUCAAGCAUCUUCUAGGUAAGUCCAUUCCAUUCCGUUAUUUAUAUCUACUUAGAAUGGGGGGGUUAAUAGGAAAGCAACAAAGAAAUGGUAAAACUACAGAUCAAUAUAAAAGAAUCCAGCACAGUUUUUUGAUCCGACGCAAAAUAACUAGACAGGUUUCUCUAGCUAGAAUCUUUUACACUAUUUGUUCAAAUCGGGGGCGCCAAAAACAGGUGGUCUGUCAUUGGCAACACUGACUAUAAUGUUCCGGCCAUGGAGUUCCUGGUGGCCAAUCAGAACAAGGUUUAAUAAAAGGGUUAUUUGUAAAGACUAAAAAUUAAUGGUGUAUCACUGUAUCUUAAAAAAUGGAUGAUAAAAAUUAAAAAACAAACCUUGCCAUUCGUGCUUGACAUGGCUUGGAUUGCUGCUUCAUCUGUUGAAAAUCCUAUAAAUCCAAACCCCCUUGAUCUCCCAGACAUUCUGUCCAUGAUAACUCUUGCUGCCAUAAACUCACAAAAAUUAUAGAUAAAAGACAGAAGAACUGAAGAAGAUGUCUACAUAUAAGAACAAGAAGAUCAGUGCAGCAAUUGAUCAAUGUGGACAGUAAAUUGAAAAAUAAACUAUUCUUCCAAUCUUGGAUGGAAGAAUAGUUGUAGAAAAUUGGAUGGAAGACGAACUACAUUGGGGGAGAUGAAAAGAGAUAUUUGUUAGAUUAUAAUACUAUAGGGGUUGCUUAAAUAAUAACCAUAUUAGUUAGUUACUUAAUUAGUCUAUUAACCAUAUUAGUUAGUUAAUUAGUUUAUAUAAUGAAUUUAUAUUGUAGAAUAACAUUUAUCAAUUCAAUCUAAGCUUCUGUAAUCAGUUCUUGGAUUACAGUCUUGAAGCUAAGAUCUACUCCUCUGUUUUGCCAAAUAUAUCUCUGUUAACAUGGUAUCAGUCGCAGGGGAUGGCUUGUCGUUGUCGUCUUCGAUAGCACGUAGCAAGAGGCGAGGGACAUCGAAUGGUUCUGAAUGGAGCAGGCAAGGCGACAGAUGGAGGAAUCGGGUAAUGAAUAUCCUUAUCCGACAAAUCUCAAUAUCAGUAACUUCGUUUCAUUAUACUUGUCUACCGAUAAUUUUUUAAUUUGGCGUACACAAAUGGUAAGUCUGUUAGAAGGUCAGGAUUUGAUUGAAUUUGUCAAUGGUUCAAUCAAAGUUCCUUCUAGAUGGAUUAAUGUACCUGAAAGGGAUUUUAGGGUUGUAGUUGAAUACCCUAACCCCCGAUUUAAAGAUUGGAGGAGGACUGAUCGACUGGUAAAGGGUUAGAUUACCAAUCAUCUCACUCCAUCUAUACUUACUUUUUAUGACUAGAAUUUAAACAUCUGUAAAGAGUGCAUUUGCACAAGAUAUUGUUGAAAGGGAAGUCUUGUUAAGAGAAAAAUUACAAAGCAUUAAAAAAGAAUCAUCAGUCCCUAUUCAGGAUUAUAUAAACAGCUAUAAAUCUAUUUUUGAUGAGUUGGGUUUGAUAGGGAAGGUACUAGGUGAUGUUAAAAAAAUUAUCAACUACUGAAUGGCUUGGGAGAAGACUAUGCAUUAUUCAAAACAGUGAUGUUUAAGCCUCCUGUAUCAUGCUAUCAAUCCAUGGUAGCUCAACUUAUUUCUUAUGAUUUAAAAAACAAUCUUAGCACGGGAAAUGAUAGAAGUUAUAUUUGAUAUAUGCAAAUAUAAAUAUAUAAAAGAUGUUUAUGAAUGUGAUCAAUAUAUAUAAUGAUAUGAAUGUAAAUUGAUACAGUAGGAUGAUCGAUUGAUCAAGGAUUGGUGAAGCGAUGAUCCACAGCUUGUUGUAGUGAAUUGGAGAUGAUUGAAGGUUGAAUCUGGGAUUCAAGUUGAUGUAUUGCGGAAGCGUUUGGAGACUAUGAAAUUGUAGAUCAAGAGUAAUCAAACAGUGUCUGUAAUUGUAUUACAGAGUGUGUGAUUGUGUACUAAUCAAAAUGAUCUAGGGAUGUUUAUAUAGGAGAACACCCAACGGCUAUGUUGGUUGGGUGCAUUUAAUUAUGGUAAUUAUGGAUAUGGGAAUAUGAAAUAUGUAAUUAAUAUAUGAUGGAAUAUUUGAUAUGAGAAUAUGAAUAAUGGAAUGUGAAGAGUUAUGAUGAAA